GACGACUAGCAGUUAUUUGGGGUCGUGAGUUGACCUUGAGGGUGAAGAUCACAUGCCGAGAAAGACAGAAGGAAAAUUAAGAGCUUGGGUCCCUGAUAAUCCCAUGGAAACACACCCUAUCUAUCAGCCUUGGAUUGCUCACCUCUAGACUUCUUUUGUGUGAAUGAGAAACAACCUCCUAUCUUGUUGGUUCUCCUCUUUUAUGGAACAGAUCCUAAUCUUAGCUGACAGCCUAAUCCUAAUUACCCAAGGUUACUAGUACACAGUAGAGCCGAUACCCAAAGCCGUUUCCCUUCCUCCUCCAAUAUGCCGGCAUUUCUGUAGAUCGAAUGACCUGAGGUUCAGAGGUGAAGAAAUCAUUCUGUGAAGACAAGACUGCCUGAAAUAAAAAGCUGCUAUGGGAGAUAACACGGGAAGGACAGAGUGGGAACAGAUUGCAGAGACUGAGACGUUGAGGAGGUGAUACUUUAUCCUGCAGGUAAAAAGCCGUAGAAUACCAGGAUGAAAGGAAUGUGUGGUAAAGAUUAACCUGUACACAUACUACACUAAGUGGUUAGAUUAAGGCAAACUAAAUUUGCCCAGUGGGAGAAGAGAGAACAAAUAUAGUAAUGAGCUUACACAUUAACUGUUGCAGCCACAUAGAUUAAAUCACAACAAACCAUCCUCGAAUCAACUCAGGGAAUCCUCAGAAAAGCAAAUGAGAGCAAAACACACUUAUUUACGCAAAUGUGGAGAGAAGGAGGAUUUUUUUUUUUCCAAAUUUGGCAAAAUACUCCUUUUUUCAAGCCCGUCACCAUCCCUGCCACAUGGGAUGCCCUAGGACACAUUCAUUAUACCACAGGUUUCCGGCUGACUCUGCAGGUCUCAGAAGUCUAGAUUGCCUUCAGAAACCCGCCCGUAUGGGCUGGCUAUCUGAAAGUUCGAUUUUUUUUUUCUAUUAUCACUUUUUUUUCUCAAGGGCUUCAAAACCCAUCUUUUAGUAGCUGAUCAGGUUCCUACAACUUUUCUGUAAAGUUCAGGGGGAGGUGGGGAAUUGAUCUGAAAUAUUUUCAAUUUUCUUGUGUGUGGAGGAUGUCUGUUUCCUUGGUCGGCUGGCGCCCUCUGUCCUUGGGGAAAUGCACUUCCCCUAUUUCACGUGGUGCUGGUGGGACUGCCAAUCACAGCGCCUUCUUCAGCCUCCUGGUCACAUGAAUGGGACCUGGCCAAUCACAAAACUCCAUUCUCCGACCUCCAAUGAUUGAGAAGACCGCAGGACCAAAGCAGGACCAAUCAGAGCCUUCCAUGGAUGCUAGGCUAAUAGGAACCCUGAGAAGGAGGUUAUGUUCUUUCUCCAGGAUGGUGGAUUAUUAGGGUCAUGGAGCCUGACGCUGCCAGAACUUUUUUUCCCACCUCAUGGAAAGAAGAACUUCCUGGAAGGAAGGCAGGACUGAGAGUUGGAAUGAAAAUGACAGAGCCCUGUCCACACCGUUAAAGUACUCAAAUCCAGUAUGAAGAAAAUCUCCUAGUUCUACAAAUUGAGGACUAUGAUACAACGGUUGCAAAAAUGGUGUCUCCUUGAGGGUGCAUCUUUGUUCUCUCUGCACUCCAGAAAACCUGGAGAGAGGCUCUGGGUGUCUUGUCUUCAUCAGCAGCAUAGCGGCUAAAGGGGUCUCUGGAGCCUGGAUGGUUGGGUGUGACUCCUGGCUUUGCCACUGGCUCUCUGUGCUUACUUAACUUCCCUGUGUUUCAAUUUCCUUAUAUGGACAACGAGUCUAAUGUUACCACAUGCAAUAUUUUUGUAAACACUAAAUUUGUUCAUCUUGAAUUCUGCUUAGACUUGAUGAGUGCUUUAAAAGUCAUCCGCUGUUAUUAGUAAUUACAAGAGAGCUGAUUCAGAAAGUUGGAAGUAACUUGCACCAGAUUAAGUGGAUUUAAUCAUGAACACUAUCCCCAUGGGCAAUCCCAGAAUCCUCCCAGCCCGCAGGAUAAUUAAAGUCAGGCUCUCGAUGGAAACCUCUCCUGCCUGUCUUCCUCCGUGUGAGAGAGUUGAAAUUGUCAAGAUGGGAGGCUGCAGGAAGGGGACGUGCGUCACAGACAGGCGGCAGGAACCCUCCUGCGUUCCUAUUUUACAGACAGGGAUGCAGCCUGGAGCUCCUGCCUGGGCGUGGCGGCCACAGGGCGCAGUGGGAAGUCCCAUGCUCUGGUUAGAUGUGAGUUCUCUUCCCAAAUCCCCAGCCUUCCCCGACUCCGCUCAAUAAAAGCUCCUUGGCCUGGCGCGAUGGCUCACGCCUGUAAUCCCAGCACUUUGAGAGGCCAGGUGGGUCACGGGGUUAGGGGUUCAAGACCAGCCUGCCCAAGAUGGUGAAACCCCGUCUCUACUAAAAAUACAAAAAUUAGCCGGGCCUGGUGGUGCGCACCUGUAAUCCCAGCUACUCGGGAGGCUGAAGCGGGAGAAUCGCUUGAACCUGGGAGGCGGGGGUUGCAGUGAGCCGAGAUCGCGCCACUGCACUCCAGCCUCGGCGACAGAAUAAGACUCCGUCUCAAA
rnacentral:lncRNA from 1 species